CAGAAUAAGAGUCCUUCAGCGGUCUCAAGCUCUGAGUCCCCUGGCCAUCUCCGUCUCCCUGUGUCCCCCCCACCGAGCUCAGCCCCAGUGGUUCUCUCUCUCUCCAGUCCAGCGCUUUUGACGGAACUGAAAGACUCUAAGAGGCGCUCCCUGAAGCAUGUGGUAACCCCCACCGGAUCCACCACCGUCUUAUUCGAUAAAGAAUUUCAGAAUAAGAGUCCUUCAGCGGUCUCAAGCUCUGAGUCCCCUGGCCAUCUCCGUCUCCCUGUGUCCCCCCCACCGAGCUCAGCCCCAGUGGUUCUCUCUCUCUCCAGUCCAGCGCUUUUGACGGAACUGAAAGACUCUAAGAGGCGCUCCCUGAAGCAUGUGGUAACCCCCACCGGAUCCACCACCGUCUUAUUCGAUAAAGAAUUUCAGAAUAAGAGUCCUUCAGCGGUCUCAAGCUCUGAGUCCCCUGGCCAUCUCCGUCUCCCUGUGUCCCCCCCACCGAGCUCAGCCCCAGUGGUUCUCUCUCUCUCCAGUCCAGCGCUUUUGACGGAACUGAAAGACUCUAAGAG